AGGGUGCAGGGCGGAUGCCUUGGCACUAGGAGCCGAUGAAGGACGUGAUAAGCUGCGAUAAGCUUCGGGGAGUUGCACGUAAACUUUGAUCCGAAGAUUUCCGAAUGAGGAAACUCACUUAGAGUAAUGUCUAAGUAUCAUUAAGUGAAUACAUAGCUUAAUGAGGGGAACUCAGGGAACUGAAACAUCUAAGUACCUGAAGGAAGAGAAAGAAAUUCGAUUCCGUAAGUAGCGGCGAGCGAACGCGGAUUAGCCCAAACCAAUAAAGUUUUCUUUACUGGGGUUGCGGACAUAUCAUAACGAAGAGGUAUCGUAAUUGAAGAGGUUUGGAAAGACCCACCACAGAAGGUAAUAGUCCUGUAUGUUAAACGAGAAGACUUCAGAUAUGAUCCAGAGUACCACGGGACACGUGAAACCCUGUGGGAAGCAGGAGGGACCACCCUCCAAGGCUAAAUACUACCUAGUGACCGAUAGCGUAUAGUACCGUGAGGGAAAGGUGAAAAGAACCCCGGGAGGGGAGUGAAAUAGAACCUGAAACCCUGCACUUACAAGCUGUGGAAGCACAUUUCUUGUGUGACCGCGUACUUUUUGUAGAACGGGCCAACGAGUUACGUUAAGUAGCAAGGUUAAGCACUUAAGGUGCGGAGCCGUAGCGAAAGCGAGUUUUAACUGAGCGUUCAGUUACUUGACGUAGACCCGAAACCGGGCGACCUACCCAUGAGCAGGAUGAAGCGAAAGUAAAAUUUCGUGGAGGUCCGAACCCACGAGCGUUGAAAAGCUCGGGGAUGACUUGUGGGUAGCGGUGAAAUUCCAAUCGAGCCCGGAGAUAGCUGGUUCUCCCCGAAAUAGCUUUAGGGCUAGCCUCAAGGUGAGAGAUACGGAGGUAGAGCACUGAAUGUCCUAGGGGGUAUUGCACCUACCGAAGACUAUCAAACUCCGAAUGCCGUCAUCUUAUACUUGGGAGUCAGACUGUGGGUGAUAAGAUUCAUAGUCGAAAGGGCAACAGCCCAGAUCGUCAGCUAAGGUCCCUAAAUGUAAGUUAAGUGGUAAAGGAUGUGGGAUUGCACAGACAACCAGGAUGUUGGCUUAGAAGCAGCCACUCAUUCAAAGAGUGCGUAAUAGCUCACUGGUCGAGUGAUCCUGCGCCGAAGAUUUCCGGGGCUAAAACUUACUACCGAAGCUACGGCAUCAGUAAUGAUGGGUAGGGGAGCUUCCCAUACGGGUUGAAGCAUGACCGUAAGGACAUGUGGACAGUAUGGGAGUGAGAAUGUUGGCAUGAGUAGCGAGAUGUGGGUGAGAAUCCCACAGGCCGUAAACCCAAGGUUUCCAGGGGAAGGUUCGUCCGCCCUGGGUUAGUCGGGACCUAAGCUGAGGCCGAAAGGCGUAGGUGAUGGACAACAGGUUGAUAUUCCUGUACUACCGAUAACCGUUUGAGAGAAGGGAUGACACAGUAGGAUAAGCUAAGCACACUGUUGGUUAUGUGUGCCCAAGCAUUGAGGCAGUCAAAGCAGGCAAAUCCGCUUUGAUAAUGCUGGGAUGUGAUGGGGAGCGAAAUUUAGUAGCGAAGUAGCUGAUUUCACACUGUCAAGAAAAGUCUCUAUCGAGGUUAAAGGUACCCGUACCGCAAACCGACACAGGUGGGUGAGGAGAGUAUCCUAAGGCCAGCGAGAGAACUGUUGUUAAGGAACUCGGCAAAAUGACCCCGUAACUUAGGGAUAAGGGGUGCCACCAUCCGGUGGCCGCAGAGAAUAGGCCCAAGCGACUGUUUACCAAAAACAUAGGUUUCUGCUAAGUCGCAAGACGAUGUAUAGGAGCUGACGCCUGCCCGGUGCUGGAAGGUUAAGGGGAUCUGUUAGAGCAAUCGAAGCAGUGAACUUAAGCCCCAGUAAACGGCGGCCGUAACUAUAACGGUCCUAAGGUAGCGAAAUUCCUUGUCGGGUAAGUUCCGACCCGCACGAAAGGCGUAACGAUUUGGGCACUGUCUCAACAACAGACUCGGUGAAAUUGUAAUUCCGGUGAAGAUGCCGGAUACCUGCGACAGGACGGAAAGACCCCAUGGAGCUUUACUGUAGCUUGACAUUGGGUCUUGGUACUACAUGUACAGGAUAGGUGGGAGGCUUUGAAACCAGGACGCCAGUUUUGGCGGAGCCAUCCUUGGGAUACCACCCUUGUAGUACUGGGACUCUAACCAUAGGCCAUGAAUCUGGUCUUGGGACACUGUCAGGUGGGCAGUUUGACUGGGGCGGUCGCCUCCCAAAAGGUAACGGAGGCGCUCAAAGGUUCUCUCAGUACGGUCGGAAAUCGUACGUAGAGUGUAAAGGCAAAAGAGAGCUUGAUUGCAAGACAUACAGGUCGAGCAAGGAUGAAAAUCGGACUUAGUGAUCCGGUGGUUCUGCGUGGAAGGGCCAUCGCUCAACGGAUAAAAGCUACCCUGGGGAUAACAGGCUUAUCUCCCCCAAGAGUCCACAUCGACGGGGAGGUUUGGCACCUCGAUGUCGGCUCAUCACAUCCUGGGGCUGUAGUAGGUCCCAAGGGUUGGGCUGUUCGCCCAUUAAAGUGGUACGCGAGCUGGGUUCAGAACGUCGUGAGACAGUUCGGUCCCUAUCCGUCGCAGGCGUAGGAAAUUUGAGAAGACCUGUCCUUAGUACGAGAGGACCGGGAUGGACGUACCUCUGGUGUACCAGUUGUUCUGCCAAGGGCAUGGCUGGGUAGCUAUGUACGGAAUGGAUAAGCGCUGAAAGCAUCUAAGCGCGAAGCCAACUUCAAGAUAAGAUUUCCCACCGCAAGGGUAAGACCCCAGAAAGACUAUCUGGUUGAUAGGUCGAAGGUGUAAGUGCAGCAAUGUAUUUAGCUUAUCGAUACUAAUAGGUCGAGGACUUGACC
rnacentral:rRNA from 2 species